rnacentral:rRNA from 1 species
UACGUAUGGUGCAAGCGUUAUCCGGAUUUACUGGGUGUAAAGGGAGCGCAGGCGGCACGGCAAGCCUGAUGUGAAAGCCCGCGGCCCAACCGCGGGACUGCAUUGGGAACUACCGGGCUGGAGUGCCGGAGAGGUAGGCGGAAUUCCUAGUGUAGCGGUGAAAUGCGUAGAUAUCAGGAGGAACACCAGUGGCGAAGGCGGCCUACUGGACGGUGACUGACGCUGAGGCUCGAAAGCGUGGGGAGCAAACAGG